rnacentral:lncRNA from 1 species
GGGUCACACAAUUCAGUCUAUAACACUAGGAUACCCAUUUUUCAUCCUUAUAAAAUAAAAUGAAUGUUACUUUGACAUUUCAUGAUAAGAUAUAAGCUUUUCUAUUCCUCUCAUUGCAAAAGAUGAUUAAAAGAUGCUGUUCAUACUGGGUCCUUCCUACCUGGCACCAACAAAUCAGGUAUUUCAUGACAGCUUUUCUUCAGAUAAAGCCAUGGUCGCCCCCCCCCAAAAGGAGGCUGGACUAAAUUAAAUCUUCGGAUUCCAAUUUUAUGAACUGCACUAAAAUCUCUCUAGGGUGCAGGAUUAUGUUUGUGUUGAAGAAUGACUACAUUAAGGAUGGUCUCAGAUUCAACGUGGGAGGGGACUACCCAGAGACAUGAGGACCAGAAGGCCUGGUUCAUUAACAUGUGGUGAGGAGGAGGGCAGAAUUUCUGUAGACAAGCUAUCACAAAAACAAAACAAACACGACUUUAAAAUCAAUCUAGUCACAAUAAAGC